rnacentral:lncRNA from 1 species
GAAGGCCCAAGAAGCUAUAGAACAAAUGAUGCAAAAUCAUGCUUUCUGGGUGUUCCGAAGACCCUUUCAUAAUCUGGAAAUGAAGUUUUGUUUUAAUAAUUUUUUGACAAUAUUUUGGUCUCAAAGCAAAAUGUAUAAAUUCAGUGUAAGACUGAAGUUUCUAGGGACAACAUCAAAAGACCAAUGUGCAUGAUAAAGCAAAAAUGGAAUUCACAUAGGUUAGCCUGUGGCUGCUGUUUUUUUUUUAAACUCGUGAUCAAGUUCAUAACAAAAUUACUAGAUUACAAAAGGAAUGUUACACUAACAGAAAACAGAAGUGCAAUCAAUGAACAAAAGACAAAUAAAUAAGAAACAUUGAUCACGAAAAAUCAGGGCUAUAAGUCUGAGGGAAAACAGAACUUUCUUCUUGCAAGGCCGUGAACACAAUUUGAUAUGGAGACAAGCGGUUGGUUUAGAAAUUUCCUACAUGUAGUUACGGCCCUGUUAAAAUAAUGGUGAGGUAAGGUUUCCUGAGACAAUAUACCUCAAGUUAAAUGAAACCAAUUUUCAGACAUUUCAAGUAUAUUUAAAUAAUAUUUAUACUUUUGUUAUUAAAAAAUUUGGGAAGUGUUUCCCGAUUUUUUUUGGGAAAAAAGAUGAAUUUAUGAAGAAUCUGGUGCCAUCUCAUACUUUCGAUUAGACCUGCUGAGUUAUUUAUUUUCUAUACAUUGCAAGUCAGGUAAUUUAUUUUCAAACUACCACAGAACAAACCAUUUAUUUUUGUGAUUAUCAAGGCUGAG